rnacentral:snoRNA from 1 species
AAUACUAUACUUUUGGGGAUCAUUUCUAUAGUUUGUUACUAGAGAAGUCUCUCCGAAUGUGUAGUGCACUGGAACUCAAUUCUGAUAUGAGGACAAUUAAUGACCUAGUACAUGGCAGGGGCUGGCGGAAGGG